UCCGUUGGUAAAUUGGCAAGAUGUCGGCAUAGCUGACGUUGAAAAGCGAUUUUGAAGAGCGCUAUGCUGCAUCUAGUCAGUUGUUCAAUGGA
ensembl:ncRNA mir-31a mir-31a stem loop